ensembl:lncRNA
CUUUCCAACCCAACCCUUCCAUGGUUGCAUUGCUCUGUGAUCUUCGAGGACCUUUCCAACCCAACCCUUCCAUGGUUGCAUUGCUCUGUGAUCUUCAAGGACCUUUCCAGCCCAACCCUUCCAUGUUUGCAUGGCUCUGUGAUCUUUGAGGACCUUUCCAACCCCCCCAUUCCAUGGUUACAUGGCUCUGUGAUCUUUGAGGACCUUUCCAACCAACCCUUCCAUGGUUUCAUGGCUCUGUGAUCUUUGAGGACCUUUCCAACCCAACCCUUCCAUGGUUGCAUUGCUCUGUGAUCUUCAAGGACCUUUCCAACCCCCCCAUUCCAUGACCCUAUGAUCAUUAAGGACCGUUCCAUCCCACCCACCCCUAUGGUUGUAUCUCAGACCCACACAUCUCGCUGUAGGCCUCGUAUCUGUCCUGGGUGCGUCGUUCCCUGCCGUGACCCCCCCGUCCCUCUGCCCUUAGAGCAUCGCCGAGUACGACCUGAAGGACAUUUCCUACACGGUGAAGAGCCCCACGUGCCACGAGCUGCUGGUCCUGGGCUCCCUGGACGAGCCCAUGGUGUUCAGCUUUGAAGAUGAACGUGAGGCCCAGAAAUGGUGGACGAUCGUGAGCAGCUCCUUGCGGGAGGUGCAGAAAGCCUCCGCAGGCAGCGCGGUGCCGACAUCCCAAACUUCAUCCCUGGCCACGACGGCCGGAGCCGGCGCUGCGGAUCUGGGCGCAGAAGAUGCUUUGGCUGCAGAGCUUUCCAACAAAGGUCAGUGGGCGCUGAUGGAUUCCCACCUGCAGGCCCCGCUGUGGGGCCGCCCUCCCUCCUGCAGCCUGGGCCUGGGGGGUGGGAGUAUCCCCCAUGCCGAGCAGGGGGCUGCUGGGGUGCAUUGCCCAGAGAAUGGGUGAAGAUUUGGCUAAUUUGGCCAAUGGUCACCCAACAGUUGGCCAGUGCUUGACUCAUGGCUCACCAGUAGUUGACCAGUGUUUGACCAGUGGUUGACCAAGGGUUGGCCGACAGUUGACCAAUGGUUGACCAAGGGUUGGUCAACAGUUGACCAAUGGUUGACCAAGGGUU